UACAGAGGGGGCAAGCGUUAUUCGUAAUUAUUGGGCGUAAAGGGCGCGUAGGCGGCCUGGCAAGUGGAAGGUGAAAUCCCUCGGCUUAACCGAGGAACUGCCCUCCAAACUGCUUGGCUUGAGUCCGGGAGAGGUGAGUGGAAUUCCCAGUGUAGCGGUGAAAUGCGUAGAUAUUGGGAGGAACACCAGUGGCGAAGGCGGCUCACUGGACCGGAACUGACGCUGAGGCGCGAAAGCGUGGGGAGCAAACAGG
rnacentral:rRNA from 1 species